GGACGAACGCUGGCGGCGUGCCUAACACAUGCAAGUCGAGCGAGGAGAUUCCUUCGGGAUGAUCCUAGCGGCGGACGGGUGAGUAACACGUGGGCAACCUGCCUCAUAGAGAGGAAUAGCCUUCCGAAAGGGAGAUUAAUACCUCAUAACAUUGCAGUUUCGCAUGGAACAGCAAUUAAAGGAGCAAUCCGCUAUGAGAUGGGCCCCGCGGCGCAUUAGCUAGUUGGUGAGGUAACGGCUCACCAAGGCGACGAUGCGUAGCCGACCUGAGAGGGUGAUCGGCCACAUUGGGACUGAGACACGGCCCAGACUCCUACGGGAGGCAGCAGUGGGGAAUAUUGCACAAUGGGGGAAACCCUGAUGCCAGCAACGCCGCGUGAGUGAUGACGGCCUUCGGGUUGUAAAGCUCUGUCUUCAGGGACGAUAAUGACGGUACCUGAGGAGGAAGCCACGGCUAACUACGUGCCAGCCGCCGC
rnacentral:rRNA from 1 species